AACGAACGCUGGCGGCAUGCCUAACACAUGCAAGUCGAACGAGACCUUCGGGUCUAGUGGCGCACGGGUGCGUAACGCGUGGGAACCUGCCCUUAGGUUCGGAAUAACUCCCCGAAAGGGGUGCUAAUACCGGAUAAUGUCUUCGGACCAAAGAUUUAUCGCCUUUGGAUGGGCCCGCGUUGGAUUAGCUAGUUGGUAGGGUAAAAGCCUACCAAGGCGACGAUCCAUAGCUGGUCUGAGAGGAUGAUCAGCCACACUGGGACUGAGACACGGCCCAGACUCCUACGGGAGGCAGCAGUGGGGAAUAUUAGACAAUGGACGAAAGCCUGAUCCAGCAAGGCCGCGUGAGUGAUGAAGGCCUUAGGGUUGGAAAGCUCUUUUACCCGGGAUGAUAAUGACAGUACCGGGAGAAUAAGCGCCGGCUAACUCCGUG
rnacentral:rRNA from 1 species